rnacentral:ncRNA from 1 species
UAGUUGCAACGGCUUCCUGGCGCAGCAUUAACUUUACCGGAGCA